rnacentral:rRNA from 1 species
GAUGAACGCUAGCGGCAGGCUUAAUACAUGCAAGUCGUGGGGCAGCAUGAGUAGCAAUACUUGAUGGCGACCGGCAAACGGGUGAGGAACACGUACACAACCUUCCUUCAAGCGGGGAAUAGCCCAGAGAAAUUUGGAUUAAUACCCCAUAAUAUAUUUGAUAAGGCAUCUUAUUAAAUAUUAAAGCUUCGGCACUUGAUGAUGGGUGUGCGGCUGAUUAGAUAGUUGGCGGGGUAACGGCCCACCAAGUCUACGAUCAGUAGCUGAUGUGAGAGCAUGAUCAGCCACACGGGCACUGAGACACGGGCCCGACUCCUACGGGAGGCAGCAGUAAGGAAUAUUGGACAAUGGACGAAAGUCUGAUCCAGCCAUGCCGCGUGAAGGAUUAAAGGUCCUCUGGAUUGUAAA